rnacentral:rRNA from 1 species
GACAGAGGAUGCAAGCGUUAUCCGGAAUGAUUGGGCGUAAAGCGUCUGUAGGUGGCUUUUAAGUCCGCCGUCAAAUCCCAGGGCUCAACCUGGACAGGCGGUGGAACUACCAAGCUGGAGUACGGUAGGGCAGAGGGAAUUUCCGGUGGAGCGGUGAAAUGCGUAGAGAUCGGAAAGAACACCAACGGCGAAGCACUCUGCUGGCCGACACUGACACUGAGAGACGAAAGCUAGGGAGCGAAUGG